GCACUGGACUGGCCCCGCCCCGCGGAAGUGCAGGCUCCGCCUGCUGAGGAAGACGGAGAGGGAAGGUGAAGUCCGGAGCACCGACCCUAGCCCCGCCCCUCCACGCACCGUAAAGCGCGGCCCCAAAGUUGCGCGUGCGCGCGUUCGAGGUCUUUUUAGCGUCUCGCUCCGACCGGAAGUGAAUUGGCCCCGAGGCUCAUGACCUAGGAAACACAAGUUCGCCGUCUCCACGCCGGAGGAGACGUGUUGGGGCCGGGUUCGGCCCUCGUGAACUCUGACUCAAGUAUCUGAGUUUCUCUUUCCGGGACAAGAUGGCGCCGUCCACGCCACUCCUGACAGUCCGAGGAUCAGAAGGGCUGUACAUGGUAAAUGGACCACCACAUUUUACAGAAAGCACAGUGUUCCCAAGAGAAUCUGGGAAAAACUGCAAAGCCUAUACCUUUAGUAAAGAUGGGACCUUGUUUGCCUGGGGCAAUGGAGAAAAAAUAAAUGUUAUCAGUGUCACUAAAAAGGGACUGCUGCACUCCUUCAACCUUCCAAAGGCAGUUUGCCUUGAGUUCUCGCCAAAAAACACUGUCCUGGCAACAUGGCAGCCUUACACUACUUCUAAAGAUGAUACAGCUGGGCUACCCAAUCUGCAACUUUAUGAUGUGAAAACUGGAACAUGUUUGAAGUCCUUCAUUCAGAAAAAAAUGCAAAAUUGGUGUCCUUCCUGGUCAGAAGAUGAAACGCUUUGUGCCCGAAAUGUGAACAAUGAAGUUCACUUUUUUGAAAACAACAACUUUAACACAAUUGCAAAUAAAUUGCAUUUGAAAAAAAUUAAUGAUUUUGUGUUAUCACCUGGACCCCAACCAUACAAGGUGGCUGUCUAUGUUCCAGGAAGUAAGGGUGCACCUUCAUUUGUUAGAUUAUAUCAGUACCCCAACUUUGAUGAGCCUCAUGCAGCUUUAGCCAAUAAAAGUUUCUUUAAGGCUGAUAAGGUCACAAUGCUAUGGAAUAAAAAAGCUACUGCUGUGUUGGUAAUAGCUAGUACAGAUGUUGACAAGACAGGAGCUUCCUACUAUGGGGAACAGACGCUGCACUACAUUGCAACAAAUGGAGAAAGUGCCGUGGUACAAUUACCGAAAAACGGCCCCAUCUACGAUGUGGUUUGGAAUUCUAGUUCUACUGAGUUUUGUGCCGUGUAUGGGUUCAUGCCUGCCAAAGCGACAGUUUUCAACCUGAAGUGUGAUCCCGUAUUUGACUUUGGAACUGGCCCUCGUAAUGCAGCCUACUACAGCCCUCAUGGACAUAUAUUAGUACUAGCUGGAUUUGGGAAUCUGAGGGGACAAAUGGAAGUGUGGGAUGUUAAAAAGUACAAACUUAUCUCUAAACCAGUGGCCUCUGAUUCUACAUAUUUUGCUUGGUGCCCAGAUGGUGAGCAUAUUUUAACAGCCACAUGUGCCCCACGGUUACGUGUUAAUAAUGGGUACAAGAUUUGGCAUUAUACAGGCUCUGUCUUGCACAAGUAUGAUGUACCAUCAAAUGCAGAAUUAUGGCAGGUUUCUUGGCAGCCAUUCUUAGAUGGAAUAUUUCCAGAAAAAGCAAUAACUUACCAAGUAGUUCCAAGUGAUGUGCCUAGUGAAGAACCUAAAGUUGCAACAGCUUAUAGACCCCCAGCUUUAAGAAAUAAACCAGUCACCAAUUCCAAACUGCACGAAGAAGAACCACCUCAGAAUAUGAAACCACAACCAGGAAAUGAGAAGCCAUUAUCAAAAACAGCCCUUAAAAAUCAAAGGAAGCAUGAGGCUAAGAAAGCUGCAAAGCAGGAAGCAAGAAUUGACAAGAGUCCAGAUAUGCCACCUGCUCCUGCCCCACAAAGCACACCACGAAAUACUAUUUCUCAGUCAACUUCUGGGGACCCUGAGACAGACAAAAAAAUCAAGAACCUAAAGAAGGUGGGAGGCUUCAGUGAAAAGCACAUGUGUUUAUUGAAAGAACACAUGAGAAUUAUAUAAAGGAAAUAGUGUUUAGAUGCCUAAAGACAGGCAUCUGAGAGAAACUGAGAGCAAUUGAACAGCUGAAAGAACAAGCAGCAACUGGAAAACAGCUAGAAAAAAAUCAGUUGGAGAAAAUUCAGAAAGAGAAAGCCCUUCUCCAAGAGCUGGAGGAUUUGGAACUGGGUAUUUAAAGAUUCACAGAAAGCAAGCUGGUUACCAGAAAUCAUUGCAAACGUAUUUUCUGUUAAACCCAUCAGUGUACAUAGAAAUAUCCAUGUGCCCACAUUUAACAUUCACUUAUAAUUUUGACCAUUUAUCUAAGAUUCUACAUAUCUAUACAAUUACUUAAUAUGCGUGUUAAAUUGAGUUUUACAUCCUGCAUUCUGUAUCAUGUCAACAUAUGAUAUCAAAAAGAGACAUAUGAUUUUCUGUUUAGCUAAGCUUGACAGAUUGAAAGACUAAUGUCAUUGUUUUUUAGUAGGAGACAGUAUUUACCAUAUAAAUGAAUAAAAAUAUUUUAAUUUUA